AGGAGAAUAACGCGUCGUUUCGGAAUAAUAGGAUAGUUGGGAAAACAGACAGAUGCGCAGUAGCGGUGGUGCGACUCUCGAUGUGAAUGACGGAAAAGCGUACAAAUAGAAACGUGAAAGGUCGUUGUAAACCCGUCUUUGGACAAUGAUCUCUUGUAUUUAUCUCGUCCGUUUCAUUCUGUAUCACUACACUGGAUAUACAUAUUAUACAGCUUCACGGUCGAUCUCUGUAAAACAAUUUUCCAAAUUGAAAUACUAUUUUCGAUUAUUUCA